UGGGGGAUAUUGCACAAUGGGCGAAAGCCUGAUGCAGCGACGCCGCGUGGGGGAUGAAGGCCUUCGGGUUGUAAACUUCUUUUGCUCUGAACAAGGCAUGCCUUUGGGGUGUGUUGAGUGUAGGGGUUGAUUAGCGCCGGCUAACUACGUGCCAGCAGCCGCGGUAAUACGUAGGGCGCGAGCGUUGUCCGGAAUUAUUGGGCGUAAAGGGUACGCAGGCGGUUUAAUAAGUCGAAUGUUAAAGAUCGGGGCUCAACCCCGUAAAGCAUUGGAAACUGAUAAACUUGAGUAGUGGAGAGGAAAGUGGAAUUCCUAGUGUAGUGGUGAAAUACGUAGAUAUUAGGAGGAAUACCAGUAGCGAAGGCGACUUUCUGGACACAAACUGACGCUGAGGUACGAAAGCGUGGGGAGCAAACAGG
rnacentral:rRNA from 1 species